UGGGGAAUUUUGGACAAUGGGGGCAACCCUGAUCCAGCAAUGCCGCGUGAGUGAAGAAGGCCUUUGGGUUGUAAAGCUCUUUUGUCAGGGAAGAAACGGUAGUAGCGAAUAACUAUUACUAAUGACGGUACCUGAAGAAUAAGCACCGGCUAACUACGUGCCAGCAGCCGCGGUAAUACGUAGGGUGCAAGCGUUAAUCGGAAUUACUGGGCGUAAAGCGUGCGCAGGCGGUUGUGUAAGUCAGAUGUGAAAUCCCCGGGCUCAACCUGGGAAUUGCAUUUGAGACUGCACGGCUAGAGUGUGUCAGAGGGGGGUAGAAUUCCACGUGUAGCAGUGAAAUGCGUAGAUAUGUGGAGGAAUACCGAUGGCGAAGGCAGCCCCCUGGGAUAACACUGACGCUCAUGCACGAAAGCGUGGGGAGCAAACAGGAUUAGAUACCCCAGUAGUCCCUGAGCGGGCUGGCAAGGCGCAU
rnacentral:rRNA from 1 species